rnacentral:hammerhead_ribozyme from 1 species
AUUCAGUUGACGAGUCCCAAAUAGAACGAAACACACUUCUUAGAU